UUUUAGCCCCGAUUGAGACGGCAUCCUUUUUAAAACUUUGAUUAGUAAGUUAUUAUUUUAAAAACAAAAACAGGACAAUUAUUAAAAAAUCAUCCUGUUUAUUAUUAAAGGUUUUAAAAAGAUAUAGGCGAAAGCGGGAAACAGC
rnacentral:sRNA from 1 species